GGUGAAGGAUCUUUGACACAGGCAACCUCCAUCCAGGCACGCAGUGGAAACGGACAGCUGACCAUAUAGCCCAGUGCCUUUUCUGACACACUUCUUCCUUGGGGAAGUUGAGGUUGGGGGCGGGCUGUGCACAGGGCUCCCCAGCCUCCCUAUGUGACUGCUCGCUUCCCUGCCCUCCGCCCGGUGGCCCCAUGGCCCACAGCCCACAGGGAAGCAGGUUGGUGCCACCCCUGCCUCCCCUCCGCAGCCGGCGGGCCUGUAAAUGCCUCCCUUGGGCCCCCAUGAGGCCAGUGAGCCAGAAGCCCCUCUGACCCAGAGGUCACUGUGACCAGCACAUCCUGGAGAGGAGGCCUCGCCCUUGCACCUUUCAUCUGCAAGAGUUACUUUUACAUUUAUUUUAAAUGUUGAUUUAAGUAUAUACUUCAUCUACAGUUAUCCAUAUAAAUAGAUUCAUUACAGGGCCUGGCUCUGAAUAAACACAGUAGGUUGGA
rnacentral:lncRNA from 1 species